UUUUUUACGGUCCUUGAAGGGGACGUGGAACUGUGUGUAGAGAAAGACGAGACAAGCGGGAUGCUCGAAAGACAGCGAUAGUUAAAGUUCUUAUGUUUUAGAACUUUCAGCCAAGUUUUGUGCCAUGGUUUGUCGAUAAGAGAAGCCGUUGUGAGUGGGUGAUUAGUGGGAAAAGACAGUAGUUCCAAAGAGGAGCCGUGGACUGUGUUUUUGGCGCUAAUUACUAGCAUAUCGAGCUUAUAGCAAAACAACCUCGCUCGAAGAUGUCGCCCACACGGGGGGGAAUCACGGAGCUUGCAGGGGAUCGUUACCGAACUGGACAACGAGACAAGACGGACACCUGAUAGCACUCGGAGUGCCUCUGGCUACGUGGGAGACGGAGGGGAGAGGUUUUGGACCGGAAGGUACCGCGCACCUGUUCCGCCUUUGAAGUCACGCUGAAAACUGGGAGCACGCUUUGUUCGGGGAACACGAGGACGACACGGAGCUGGACAGGACACGUAAUUAACCCACUGGACACAAGGUACUCACGACGGAGAUUAAGGACACAGUGAUGAGGAUUGAUGAGGCCUUUUGAAAAGACGGAAUGCAAAUGACUUCCUUUUUCUAACCAGCAGGGGGAGCUAUUGCCAUAAAUAUAACGAGACAAAACAGAAUGGUAUAAAGAAAGAUGCAGAGAGUAGAAGAAGAGGAGCUAAAGGUGUCCUUCAGUCUUCAUCGCUGGACAGACAUUACCCUGACUAACCACAGCGUGAAGCAACAAACCCCACGUGGAGAAGAAGACGGUCGGCCAUCAUCAUCUAUACGGGAGUGGAGCGCAUGGCGAUGGUGUUGCCAUGGCGACGAGGCUCCGACUCGUGGAAGUAGGCGUAUGAGUGUGAAUCAGCUCUCCGUACCUGACUGUAAUCUUCACCGUCUGACUAUGUUCUGACCCUGCCAGUGUUUAUUUGCGGCGAGGGCGACCAUGCAGAGCCAAUCACCUGGCGAGGCCGCGCAUUUCGAGCAGAGGAGGAGGCGCAGGCCGGGCUAGGCUAUCUAGUCGUGCACAUUC